GAUCAGCUGGUAUACGAUGAUGAUUUUGCCCACAGUGGCCGGUAUGAUAUAAUGGAAUGCCCUUAGAGGAUAAUGCUGUUAUGAAAUAUGUACCUAUGCACGACAUGACAUUCAUGCACAUAUGCAUGAUGCUAAAAGUAAUUUAUGAUCUACAAAGUUAUUCAUACUUACAGGUUGAGUCAUGUACUCUAUAUGUCUUCCAUGUCUCUUAUGUAUUUAUUUAUGUGCCUUACAUACUCGGUACAUUAUUCGUACUGAUGUCCCUUUUGCCUUGGGACGUUGUGUUUGAUGCCCGCAGGUCCCGAUAGACAGGUCGAGAGCCCUCCAAGUAGGCUAUCAGCUUAGAGGAAGAUGUUGGUGCGCUCCAUUUGCUUCGGAGUUGCUCGUUUGGUUAGUAUGAUUUAGAUGUGUAUUGUUUGGUAUGACGGGACUCUGUCCCAACCUUUUUGACAUUUAUGUAUUCUUAGAGGCUUGUAGAUAUAUGUCUUGUACGUGAAAGAUUGUACGGCCUUGUCGGCCUAUGUUUUGAGUUUAUAAAUGAUUAUGUUGGCCUAUUAGGCCCGUAUGUAACGUGUAUAUGAUGAUGUAAUAAGAAAGAUACAUUACAGUGGUACUCGGUUGAGUAAGGUAUCGGGUGCCCGUCGCGGCCCAUCGGUUUGGGUUGUGACAAAAGUGGUAUCAGAGCAGUUCUGUCCUAGGGAGUCUACAAGCCAUGUCUAGUAGAGUCUUGUUUAUGGGUGUGUCGUGUACCACACUUAUAAGCAGGAGGCUACAUGGCAUUUAAGAUUGUCACUCUUUCUUCUUACUCUAGAUCGUAUGGUAGAGCUCAGUCAUAGAAAUUCAAAUUCCUAAAUCCUAUUCAGACGAUACCUAUAUCUGGAAAGAAGGUUGGAAAGAGAGAUUGUUUUUGAAGAUUUGAGUCAGAGGAACUCCAUUUUUGCAUCAUGCUUAUGAUGAAUGAAUAUGAGGUAUUCGGCAAAUCAUAUGUAUACUAAGAUGUGUAAGUUUCUUGAUAAAGAUUUCAAAGGCAAGAAUGCCUAUCCACUCAUACGGUAAAAAUGAACAAGAGAAUCGGAAGGUAGAUACAAGUUUCAGCAAGUAAAAAAAAAAGCAAGGUGAAGAAGGGUAUGAGGCGCCCAGUUAAUGAAGGUUAAUAACGUUUAUAAUUUAGGCAGAAGAACAUAAGUUUUUUGAAUUAUAUUCAAUAGUAACAGAGGUAUAUACAAUUGGUCGCACCCACUCCAGAUAUGCCCUAUGGGGGUUAAUAGAAGUAGUAUAAGAAGAUAUGAUGGAUGAAUUAUUUGUUUCAGUUGACAUUUCCGAAGGAUAUUGCAAAUGUGCUAAUAGAUCUCCUUGUGAGACACCCAGAUGAUUCACUUUAAAAUAGUUUAGCCAGAUAUGAGUACUACAAAGACAUGCACUAUAAGACUUGAAGGGAUAAAUAUUACCUUAAUGUGGCUCGCGUCCCUAGUAAAGCAAGAACGUUAAGCAACUUGAAGAGCCACUGGAUGGAGCAAGGGAAUUAAAGCUAAAAGAGAAAGAAUGUCGUAUUGAAGUUUUCACAAGAAAAGGGAUAUGCAAAUAUUAGCAGAGUAAUGAGAAGAUAGAUAAGGAAGCAUUAUGAAUAAGGUGUGACACAUGAAUGAAAACGGUUGUGUGUUACAAAAUCUAUGGUCAAAUAAAGGAAGAGACGAAAGAUGAUAGGCCUUAAGACAACAAAAGAGUAUAGGCCAUAAGGUUAUAUCCUCAUUUUGAGAAAUAAGUUCGUGACUCCAACACGACUACCAGAGGGGAAAGUUAAUCCCCAGAGUAAUAAAAAUCAGUAUGGGCUGGUAAGCAAGAUAAAUUAAUAUGAAUUAGGGACUGAAUGAUUGGAGAGUACUCGGCAACAUGGUAANNNNNNNNNNNNNNNNNNNNNGCUUCCCUAAAGCAAGCAAUGUUAGCAAAGUUAAGCUUAAGGGACUAUAUGUACCAGUUACAUUAAGUGUCACCCUCGCGAGUAAGGGGAUUUGUCAUCCUUGGUACAGAAGGAAUGCCGCAAGGCGAGUAAGGGUCGUUGAUGACGUGAAAUGAUAUCAAAGAUGAAGAGGAUAAAAAAACAUCUAUAGGCAGGGCGUCAUAACUCCAAGUCUUAGUACUCCCCUAAGGGGGGAAAUAUGGAGUAAUAAAUGAAAAAUGCGGUAAAAACAAAAAAGGAAUGAGAUUACACUUAUUAUGCUCCUACGUAUAUUCUAUAAUUCUAGCACAUUAUGCAAACACGACGUCAAUGAGAGGAAAUAAGGGUCCCUGCCCGUGAUGUUAUUGAUAGAAAAGGAGUCAGUGCGAGACAUAAGUUAAGACAAAGGAAAUAACCCAAGAAAGAUUUCGUGGAAUAUUGACAUGAGAAUGGGCCAACGAGUAGUUAGUAGUUUAUUUAGGAAGAGCCUAGUCACGACUAGACAAGAAGUUACAGACAAAUCAGUAGAUCAUGCAAGAUAAAUGUAGUAAACCCCAACAUGGAGAAUUCAGCCCCGCAAUUAUGACAUUGUAAUACUUGAGAUAUAUUCAUAUAAGAGUUGGAGAAGUUAAAAAGGUACUAUAUGAGUGUUAUGGAAAUAAAAGAGAGUGUCACUAGGAAUACGGUCAAAAUAUCAGUCCCGAAGAAACCCCACAAGCACAAGGGCAUAUAGAUAAGUAACUAUGGAUAAGUAUAGGCAAGGAAGGACAAUAGAAGGUCCAUCAAGUAUACAAUAUAAUAAGCUCGCAUCUUUACAAGAGUCAGAGGAUCCUCCGUAAGUACUAUAGCGAAGGACUAGCUUAGGAAAUGAGGAAGAAGGCUUUAACCUAAGCACAUUAUCUUAAUGAAGAAAAGGUCAUGUAAAAGCAGUCUCACUACAAACAUUGUAUGCCCUCCAAAAGAAAGUGGCACCUACCAUGGUUAAUGAACGGGGAGAAAGAUCGAAGGUAAUAUUUGAGACUAUAUAAGUUGCAAAAAAUUUCUGGCAUGUGUGGGAACUAGGAUGAGUUAAGUAUGCACGCAACAAGGGUCAGAAAGACCAGAAAAAGUAAUUGCAUACUUUUUAAGAGAGCUGAGAUGGAACGAAAGGAAUUAUUCGAUCAAAUCCAGAGUUAGUACGUUAUGGACACACUCAAGAUUUUGGAGCAUUAUAUUUGUUGGCAAUCAUACAGCCAUAGAAGACUCCGGUAUAAGUUAAAAAAAGAAAGAAUUGAGCCCAGGGCAUAGACAAAUGAUUGAAUUGUUAAAAGAUUGUAUCAUGGAUAUUCCAUAAUGCCCAUGAAAGGCUAAGGUAAUAACUGAUACCAUGAGCCACAAAUUGAAAGGUAGCUUAAACCUACACAAAGGCUGAUCGAAAGGAAGAGGAAGCUAAAGAAUCACAUCACCCAAGUAAAUCAAGAGUCUGAUUAUUGGACCUAGAAAAAUUAUAGAAGUUGUGCUUAAGAAUAUGACAGAAUCACUCUUAAUAUGAGACGUUCAAGAGAAAUAACAUAACAACCAUAACCUAUAAUGACUCUAUAAGAAAGCCAAUUAGAAGAAGUACCAGCCUCAUAAGAAGUCAAUAUGAAGCUCCCAUCGGAUAGUGUAUGUAGCAGAGGUGCGAGUAUUAUAGUAAAGCUUUAAGUUAUGGAUAUGAAUUAUACCUAUAUGGAGGGAAGGUCCUGAAAGAGAUAGAAGAUACGAUGCGAAAUUUUAAGGUAAGUAAGGUAAAGGUGAACAACGUAUGAGAUACUCAAAGGCAGAAGAUCAUGAAUAAUCCAUACUUCGGAUAGAAGUCUAUAAGCGCGGGGAUUCCAUAUCCAGGAAUGAUAGCAGCGGUGUCAGUAGCAGAUCUUUCGGCCUACUGUCUAGGUAUCGAAAAGCCUGAUUAUGAGAGUAAAGGAUAGUUAGAGAUGAUGCUAUGUCUCGCUUGAUGUUCCAGAACAACAAAAGGAAAUCUAUGGUGCAAGCAAGUUGAAGGAAGGCCGCGAUAGAAUAAAUAUAUAUGUAUAGAUCCCAAGCUAAAGUAUAGUAUAGCGACAAAGUUUUAAUGAAACAUGAGUAAGGAUGAGGAAAGGCAAGUGAAAGGGUGACGAGAACGGAUAAGUCCUCGGGAUUGAAACCCAUGAAAACAAGAAAGCUAAGGGUUUCUCUAAAUUAUAGGAAGUUCAGUAUAGCCUGAAUGAACUCAAAGGAGUCUAAGACUAAUAACAUUCAGAAGAGAUGCAAUGCUGCCUUGUUAAUAGAAUGAGUGUGUAAUUAUUAUAGAAAAAAAUGAAUGACGUUUGGGCCUUCGAUUGAGUAAUGAUCUGACGAAUAAAAGAAAGGGAUCUUAUGAAUUGGACAGGAUCAAAAUACCUAUGCAGGUAAAUCACAUUGGGAUGCUGUGAGAUACGAUUAUGAAAGCAUGAUAUUGCCCCAGGUGGAUCAAUCUAAUUAUUUCAGAUGUUCCCCAUUAAAACAUGAAUCCUAGCAGUAAUAUUACACAGUUAUAAAGUUAUCAGAGGUGGAUUAUGGAUCAAAAUUGAGGUGAAUUCAACAAUGGAUGGAUAAAAGUUAUAAAGUAUAAGAUGAGAUUAGGCCGUCAUUCUUAAGAUGAACAGCAGUAUGGAAGCAUUAGAGGACAUAGAUUUAUACGUAUGGGAUAAGCAAUGAAAUUAACCUCGGAUUUUGUAGCAGACCUCAGUAACGAGAAGUCGAUGUAAGAGUUAUGGUAUAAUAUGACCUAUAUAGAUGCAGUAAAGUCAUACGAAUGGAUAACAACGUCUAUAAAAUAAGAUAUAGCAAUAUUCGUAAGUUCCACAAAAAGUGAAGAACUUCAGGAUUGGCUAAAAACUGGAGGAAAAAGGAGAGGAGAGUCACAUAAGCACCCUUACAAGGUCUGUAUCGUAGAAGCUCCAUGAUGGGAGGUAGCAACAGUUAUGAGAUUGGAAGGAAUUUGAUCACAAGUCAUGGCGUGGGAAAAAGGGCCUAAAGGGGGAUAACCUGGCCUAGAUGACAAGAGGACUACUAAAGUAUUCGCAAGAGCUAUGGGAUAUGAGAACGAUAAGCGCAUCAGUCAACAUUCGAGGACGAAUGUUCCAAAGGGGGGAAUGAUGUUACACCCCAUAUUUUGUACAUGAAAAUACGCCAUAAAUAAAUUAAUGAAAACCCGGAAGUGAGAUGUCACGUCCCGCAGAAUUUCAUUACGGUGAUGUCACGUUUCGCAGUAUUAAGUUACAACGAUGUUGCACCCUAAAGUAUUGUACGUUAAAAUUUCAUUUUCAGUUAACCGAUGUAAGAUCGGGAAUGAGAUCAUCUUGAUGUUAACGUACUUACACUAUUUAUAGCUGGCAAUAAAUAAGAGUUAUGAAGAAUAAGAGGGUACACAGAUUAGAGAAAACGAGUUUUGUUGAAAGUAGUCAAUUUGGAAUAAAAUACGGGUCGAGCGAUAAUACCCGAUAAUUAUAAACUAGUACCAUGAAAGGUGUCAUGUGACCACGGUAGUAUAAUAUAUAAAUUAUAUAUGAAGUAUUUUAAAAAUAAAUAGAAUUUUCAGUAAUUUAUGGUAAUUUUUUUAAAAUUAUACGGGUAAUUGAUUAAUUACCGAGUAACAGGACAUUACCCAGUUAACUAAUAAGUGGAUAAAAAAUUAAUAAUUAACCCUCCCCUCCCACGUUGCAAAGAGCCACAAACCAAGAAGUGACUAAAUAGUCACUUAUGCCUAGGUGGCAACCUAGGCUUGAAGGGAACAAAUGACUAUCCAAAGUCUUGUUACAAUUCCUUAUGGAAAUGACAACAGUAACGUUAUAAUUCAAACAAGCAAGAAAGCAAUUCUUUCUUGAUUUGGAAAUUUCAAAGAACAGAAUGAACGAAAUUUGCUCAGUAUCUCAACAAGCAUGAAGCCAUACAUUUGUUCAAGAAAUUUGAAGAAGCAGAAGUUUAAUCCCAUUUUUGCGGUUCAAACGAAGUACAGUGUAACCUUUUCCAAGGAUAUCAUACGGAUUUUUCCUACUCCGGGUAUGUUAAGGCUAUCCCUUCUUUCUUUUGGCAUGAUCUAUACGAUACGAACGGAACGUGCAAAUGCACAAAUUCCACGAAUGACUCUAUUCAUAGAAGUAUUAGAGAUAUCUCUGUUAUUGAAUUUUCAUGUGUUAUAAUGUCUUAUCAUCUGUUCAUGGGUCUCAGAAAAAUAAGAAAGUUGAAAAGAGUUUACUUUAUGAUAUUACUCAGAGGCAAAAUGGUCUUAUGACAUUUCGAAUAAUUUUGUUGACGUACUUUUUAUGCACUGCAUUCAUGUGCACUGACUCAUGACCAAAUGACGUUAUAUACACGUAUAUAUGUAAAUAUAUGUAUAUGGGAUAUGGGAAAGGUUAUGGCGUUAUAUACGCACCACCACCUGAUCAGCUGGUAUACGAUGAUGAUUUUGCCCACAGUGACCGGUAUGAUAUAAUGGAAUGCCCUCAGAGGCUGAUGAUGUUAUGAAACAUGUACCUAUGCAGCACGACAUAACAUUCAUGUACACAUGCAUGAAGCUAAAAGUAAUUUAUGAUCUACAAAGUUAUUCAUACUUACAGGUUGAGUCAUGUACUCUAUAUGUCUUCCAUGUCUC
rnacentral:lncRNA from 1 species